ensembl:lncRNA novel transcript
CGCGGGGAGAGGGAAGGCGAAGGCGGGCUGAGCCCGGCGCCGGGAGGAGUGGUCUAAACUCCACCGCGGCUUUCGCAUCGGAGACGUGUCUUUAGGAAGCAGAGAGGGUUCGAUUCUGGACUCCGCCCAUGACUCACUUCUCUUGUAAAGAAAGAGUUGUCCUUCCUGGUACUCCAGGUUUAUGGGAUGCAGGAUAAUGGAGCAUGCUCUAUCUGGGACAUUGCUAGUCUUAUGACAGAGGGAGAAGACAGCGAUGGUAACUUUGCUGGGACUAUGAUAGAAUCAUGAAAUCAUCCAGGCCUUUAAAAAUGUUCAUCACAACAUUUAAUCUGGACAUCAUUUGUAGCAAUUACCACCAUUUCAGUUUUAUACAACACCAUGAAAGGGCUCAGCUGGCAGUAGUUUUCGAAGAACUCCAGGAAGUGGCUGCAGAGCAAAGUAGGAUCCUGAUACUGAUCACACUUUUGUCAAGAAGCCAAAGAACAAAGUUGAUUAAAGCAUUAUGCCUGGAAAUAAAGGGGAACAGGACAUCAGCAAAAUUCUUUUUAUCCAUUCACACAUUGAAGACAUGUAAGAUCAAUGACACACAAAAUGGAAGAGAAAUCUUAAUCACACGUGUGAAGACUAGCAGGUAUUUUUUUCCUGUGCACAUCAACGGGCUGUAUUGUGGCAUAUACAUGAAAGGGUGAAGUGCUUGAUGUCUUUAGUUUAUGUUUUCCUAAAACUCCAUGCUACUAGGAG